GACGAACGCUGGCGGCGUGCUUAACACAUGCAAGUCGAACGGAAAGGCCCUGCUUUUGUGGGGUGCUCGAGUGGCGAACGGGUGAGUAACACGUGAGUAACCUGCCCUUGACUUUGGGAUAACUUCAGGAAACUGGGGCUAAUACCGGAUAGGAGCUCCUGCUGCAUGGUGGGGGUUGGAAAGUUUCGGCGGUUGGGGAUGGACUCGCGGCUUAUCAGCUUGUUGGUGGGGUAGUGGCUUACCAAGGCUUUGACGGGUAGCCGGCCUGAGAGGGUGACCGGCCACAUUGGGACUGAGAUACGGCCCAGACUCCUACGGGAGGCAGCAGUGGGGAAUAUUGCGCAAUGGGUGGAAGCCUGAUGCAGCAACGCCGCGUGCGGGAUGACGGCCUUCGGGUUGUAAACCGCUUUCGCCUGUGACGAAGCGUGUGUGACGGUAAUGGGUAAAGAAGCACCGGCUAACUACGUG
rnacentral:rRNA from 1 species